UCAGCCUCCACCAAGAGGACAGGGGAGCAGCUCCAUAGGCAGGAACUGCAUGGACCAGAAAAUCGGCCAGCUGUUUGCACGUCCAAAGGCAAGUUAAGUGGCUACCUUCUCCUGGAGCUUCAAAUUACCUGAUCGGGUUUAAUACUUCUAAGUUCACCUGAGGAAGUCUUAAUCAUGAUCACACUACACAGACUCCAGACUACUAUGAAAAAUAGAUGAUGCAAAUGGCCCAGAUUAACAGAGGUAGAUGUCACACCCUGGGAAGAACACAUCUCUAACACAAGGAAAAGCAUGUCAUCUGACAAGACACUGCACCAAAGUUGGCACCAAAUCAUUUGGUAAACCAAGAUGAAAAGAGAAGUGCAGCUCAUGCAAAGAGAUGGAUUUUUUUAAAGAAUAAAAUAAAUUUUAAAAAAGUUUUACUUAUCCAGAUUCACCAGACUCACCAAAAUUCCCAGCUGUGCAUCAAAAGUAGUUGUAAAGGCCAAGAAAAUCAGCUUUCUGCUGCAUAUGGACUUUUACUCAAGCAAACAUAACUCAGACACAAAACCUCCCAUGUGUCUUUUAGCAUACAGUUAGUUACUGAGAAAGACGGAGUAAAACCUGUGGAAACAGGAAAGGGGAAAACAGAAGUGCUUGCAUCACAUCAAAUUACAAUGUAUUUCUACAUACUUUAUUCUUGCUUUUCAGCUGAUUUAGUGAAUAGCACUGGCUCUCACACGAUCUAAGAAGAGGUUGAGCUGCAUGGCUGGGAACAGGAGGUGCAAGACAGGUCCGUCUUUCAGUGGCAGUGAUGUACUGGCUCUGCUCAUCUGAGCUGAUUGAAAUGCUACUUCAUCUCUCACAGUGCAAAAUCAAUUGGAGUGACAGGAAUCAUUUUCCUAAACCAUUUAGGCUGUGUAAGAGCUCAUCUGCACAUUUCCUUUGUAACUUUGAACAAGCCCCAGUUUAAGCCAUUAAAUGAACACCUGAGGUAAGAAAAUCUGGCCAGUCAAAAUUCUCUCACCUUGCAGCAUUGCUAGAAGAGACACGUUCUUAAUCAGACAGAUAGAACAAACACUUAAAAAGU